GGGUUGUGAGGUUAAGCGACUAAGCGUACACGGUGGAUGCCCUGGCAGUCAGAGGCGAUGAAGGACGUGCUAAUCUGCGAUAAGCGCCGGUAAGGUGAUAUGAACCGUUAUAACCGGCGAUUUCCGAAUGGGGAAACCCAGUGUGAUUCGUCACACUAUCAUUAACUGAAUCCAUAGGUUAAUGAGGCGAACCGGGGGAACUGAAACAUCUAAGUACCCCGAGGAAAAGAAAUCAACCGAGAUUCCCCCAGUAGCGGCGAGCGAACGGGGAGGAGCCCAGAGCCUGAAUCAGCAUGUGUGUUAGUGGAAGCGUCUGGAAAGGCGCGCGAUACAGGGUGACAGCCCCGUACACAAAAGCGCAUGUGUUGUGAGCUCGAUGAGUAGGGCGGGACACGUGGUAUCCUGUCUGAAUAUGGGGGGACCAUCCUCCAAGGCUAAAUACUCCUGACUGACCGAUAGUGAACCAGUACCGUGAGGGAAAGGCGAAAAGAACCCCGGCGAGGGGAGUGAAAAAGAACCUGAAACCGUGUACGUACAAGCAGUGGGAGCACAGGUUUACCUGUGUGACUGCGUACCUUUUGUAUAAUGGGUCAGCGACUUAUAUUCUGUAGCAAGGUUAACCGAAUAGGGGAGCCG
rnacentral:rRNA from 1 species